ACGGGUGAGUAACGCGUGAGAAUCUACCUUUAGGAGGGGGAAAACAACUGGAAACGGUUGCUAACACCCCAUAUGCUGAGGAGUAAAAUACGUUGUGCCUAGAGAUGAGCUUGCGUCUGAUUAGUUAGUUGGUAAGGUAAUUGCUUCCCAAGACUAUGAUCAGUAGCUGGUCUGAGAGGAUGAUCAGCCACACUGGGACUGAGACACGGCCCAGACUCCUACGGGAGGCAGCAGUGAGGAAUUUUCCGCAAUGGGCGAAAGCCUGACGGAGCAAUGCCGCGUGGAGGAUGAAAGCCUAUGGGUUGUAAACUCCUUUUCUCAGAGAAGAAAUUUUGACGGUAUCUGAGGAAUAAGCAUCGGCUAACUCCGUGCCAGCAGCCGCGGUAAUACGGGGGAUGCAAGUGUUAUCCGGAAUAAUUGGGCGUAAAGCGUCUGUAGGUGGUUUACCAAGUCUGUUGUUAAAAAUCAGGGCUCAACCCUGAUCCGGCAACAGAAACUAGUAGACUUGAGUACGGUAGGGGCAGAGGGAAUUCUCGGUGUAGUGGUGAAAUACGUAGAUAUCGAGAAGAACACCAAUAGCGAAAGCACUCUGCUGGGCCGAAACUGACAUUGAGAGACGAAAGCUAGGGGAGCAAAAGGGAUUAGAUACCCCUGUAGUCA
rnacentral:rRNA from 1 species